rnacentral:lncRNA from 1 species
ACUUCACCAAGCGGCCGGUCCGAGGGGACAUGGCGGCAACCUCUGCAGCGUCAGUGCUGCUGGCGGGUGCAAGAAACUGGUGGCGACACUGCCUGAGCCCGCUGCUGUUGCCAAGAGUCUCACUUCAUCACCAUGCUGGAGUGCAGUGGCACUAUCUGAGAUCACUGCAAUCUCCGCCUCUCGGAUUCAAGCGAUUCUCGUGCCUCAGCCUCCCGAGUAGUAGCUGGGAGUACAGGCAUGUGCCACCAUGCCCAGCUAAUUUUUGUAUUUUUGGUACAGACCUGGUUUCGCCUUGUUGGCCAGGCUGGUCUCGAGCUUCUGACCUCAAGUGAUCCGCCUGCCUCGGCCUUCCAAAGUGCUGGGAUUACAGGCGUGAACCACUGAGACUGGUAGCGACAGAAGGAAGAAAACAUUAUCAGGAGGGAAUUCAGAUAAAGGACAAACCAUAUUUUGACUGCUACUGACUUGUUGAACUGGCAGUCGGGGUCAACUUGGGAAGACAGCUGUGACCAUAAAUAUUAAAGAAGACAAAAGGAUUCUUUGUGACACUGAGACCUUCUGCAGUACCACAGUGGAGGAAAUGCCAGUGUACACAACUGGCCUCAUUUAAUUCCUGGGAGGAGAUAGUUUGGGAUGCAGUGCUUGUUGUUGCUGAGCAGGCGAUCACAGCAUGCACUGUGUUUCUUUCUUUGAGAAUAUUUGAAUCCUGCCUGAAUACUCGUAACAGAUGAGAGACGCAGGUUUUGAUAGCAUAGAUUUACGCUGUCAUUAGUCAUGAGCUCUUGGGACGAAAGUAAUUGGUUUUAUCCUGUUUAGAGUUAGACCCUGUGGUUGGGUAUGAAAGAUGAGUGUCUGUAAAAAUCCUUCUUAGAAAUGUAUUUCCUCAAGACUCUGUCUCAAAAAAAAAAAAAAGAAAUUUAUUUCCUAGUUCUGUAAAAAUCGCUAUAUUGAGUGUUCUCUAUCACUUAAUAAUAUACUUAUUAUUAAGUGGACUUAAAGAUAUGCAGUGUAUAAAAUCAGCUAAUUACGUUAAACCAUGGUAUCUCCCUUUAUUGUGUUAGACUGAAUAGAACAAACUUUAAAAUAAUUUUUUAAAGAAUAUAUUUGAAUUCAUUUUGUUUGAUAAUAUGUUUUUAUUCAGAAAAGCAUUUUAUUAGCGCUAGGUGUGAACCCGAGCCUUUUGCUAAAUACCAGCAGCAAUCAUGUCCUAGAGUUAAAUCCCAGAAAAAUUGCCAUAUUAUAUAUUAAAGGUUCAAUAAAUUACAA